CGCGGCCUAUCAGCUUGUUGGUGGGGUAGAAGCCUACCAAGGCGACGACGGGUAGCCGGCCUGAGAGGGCGACCGGCCACACUGGGACUGAGACACGGCCCAGACUCCUACGGGAGGCAGCAGUGGGGAAUCUUGCGCAAUGGGCGAAAGCCUGACGCAGCGACGCCGCGUGGGGGAUGAAGGCCUUCGGGUUGUAAACCCCUUUCAGCAGGGACGAAGCGAAAGUGACGGUACCUGCAGAAGAAGCGCCGGCUAACUACGUGCCAGCAGCCGCGGUAACACGUAGGGCGCAAGCGUUGUCCAGAAUUAUUGGGCGUAAAGAGCUCGUAGGCGGACUGUUGCGUCCGCUGUGAAAAGCUGGGGCUUAACCCUGGCCUUGCAGUGGAUACGGGCAGACUAGAGGUAGGUAGGGGAGAAUGGAAUUCCCGGUGUAGCGGUGAAAUGCGCAGAUAUCGGGAGGAACACCGGUGGCGAAGGCGGUUCUCUGGGCCUUACCUGACGCUGAGGAGCGAAAGCGUGGGGAGCGAACAGGAUUAGAUACCCUGGUAGUCCACGCUGUAAACGUUGGGCGCUAGGUGUGGGGUCCUUCCACGGAUUCCGUGCCGCAGCUAACGCAUUAAGCGCCCCGCCUGGGGAGUACG
rnacentral:rRNA from 1 species